rnacentral:lncRNA from 1 species
CCGGGGCAUCCAGUGUCAACAUAAUUAAAGGAAAUCUCAUUUUCCUUGAAGCUCUGCUUGCUAGCUGAACUUUUCAGCUCUGCACAAGUCCCUCUCCUAAUCCAUCUGUAUCUUCAUUGUUUUAGACAAAGGACGAUUAGUCGCAGGCUGGGCUCUCGGAGUGUUGAGAUAUGGAUUAAGAAUACUCCGUUCAGUGAUGUUGAAUGACCAAUUGAAUAUUUUUGAGUGGGCAGAUGGCAAGAUCCUGGAAGUGUAAAACAGCUACAAGAAACAAGAUGAUUCAGACAGAAGGAGUAUGAAUAAAUCCUGGCUGGUCAUCUCAUUAUUAAUCAAGAUACCACCACCCACCCUCUACCGCCUUAGCUGGGCUGGCGCAGGCUUGAAAAAAACGUACCAUCACCCGUGUGAUGUUUCUGAAGAAAGCCGGAGAAGCAGCAACAGUUGGUGCCUUUGAUUAGCAGAACAUUUCAAUCCCCACCCCAUCUUUUCUCCAAAUAGUCGUUCACAAUGCGAGUGCUCAGCCCCACUGUUUGCUCGGUUCAAUAGAUCUGGGGGCAAGGGUUAUGCCUUCCUGUUACCAUGGGGCUGGCAGAGAGAACUGGAGGCCAGUGAUCUUAGUCUGAGCUUCAGGAUCAUGGCUAGCUCCCUACAACUGUCCCCAGAUGUUCCCAAUUCAACCUGCAGUGCAGAUUACGUAAUCAUCUCUUCACGACGCAUGAGCAUAGGGGGAACUCUGGGCUCCAAAGAGUUAAAUUGUCAUCUGCAAUGGAAUAAAUGGUUUAACCACAAAUUCAUCCUGUGCUCGCCUACUUAUGUGUUACCCUGGGUGCAUGCAUUUCCCCCUUUCAGAUAUUAUUAUCUUUUAUGAUAUCAUAUCUUAAAAUGGCUCCUCUGUCAUUUAGGAGCAAGGUCUCCUAGGUUCA